AAAUUGAAGAGUUUGAUCAUGGCUCAGAUUGAACGCUGGCGGCAGGCCUAACACAUGCAAGUCGAACGGUAACAGGAAACAGCUUGCUGUUUCGCUGACGAGUGGCGGACGGGUGAGUAAUGUCUGGGAAACUGCCUGAUGGAGGGGGAUAACUACUGGAAACGGUAGCUAAUACCGCAUAACGUCGCAAGACCAAAGAGGGGGACCUUCGGGCCUCUUGCCAUCGGAUGUGCCAGAUGGGAUUAGCUAGUAGGUGGGGUAACGGCUCACCUAGGCGACGAUCCCUAGCUGGUCUGAGAGGAUGACCAGCCACACUGGAACUGAGACACGGUCCAGACUCCUACGGGAGGCAGCAGUGGGGAAUAUUGCACAAUGGGCGCAAGCCUGAUGCAGCCAUGCCGCGUGUAUGAAGAAGGCCUUCGGGUUGUAAAGUACUUUCAGCGGGGAGGAAGGGAGUAAAGUUAAUACCUUUACUCAUUGACGUUACCCGCAGAAGAAGCACCGGCUAACUCCGUGCCAGCAGCCGCGGUAAUACGGAGGGUGCAAGCGUUAAUCGGAAUUACUGGGCGUAAAGCGCACGCAGGCGGUUUGUUAAGUCAGAUGUGAAAUCCCCGGGCUCAACCUGGGAACUGCAUCUGAUACUGGCAAGCUUGAGUCUCGUAGAGGGGGGUAGAAUUCCAGGUGUAGCGGUGAAAUGCGUAGAGAUCUGGAGGAAUACCGGU
rnacentral:rRNA from 1 species